GUCUACGGCCAUACCACCCUGAACGCGCCUGAUCAUGUCUGAUCUCCGAAGCUAAGCAGGGUAGUAGUUGGAUGGGAGAACCCCUUUCCACUUAAACUUAGUACAUU
rnacentral:rRNA from 1 species